CCCUACGGGAGUCUGCAGUGAGGAAUAUUGGUCAAUGGGCUUACGCCUGAACCAGCCAAGUCGCGUGAGGGAAGACUGCCCUAUGGGUUGUAAACCUCUUUUGUCAGGGAGCAAUUGGCGCUACGUGUAGCGUUAUCGAGAGUACCUGAAGAAAAAGCAUCGGCUAACUCCGUGCCAGCAGCCGCGGUAAUACGGGGGAUGCGAGCGUUAUCCGGAUUUAUUGGGUUAAGAGGGUGCGUAGGCGGAAUGCCAAGUCAGCGGUAAAAUAGCGGGGCUCAACCUCGCUCCGCCGUUGAACCUGGCGUUCUUGAGUGGGCGAGAAGUAUGCGGAAUGCGUGGUGUAGCGGUGAAAUGCAUAGAUAUCACGCAGAACUCCGAUUGCGAAGGCAGCAUACCGGCGCCCAACUGACGCUGAAGCACGAAAGCGUGGGUAUCGAACAGGAUUAGAUACCCCAGUAGUC
rnacentral:rRNA from 1 species